GACAGAGGGUGCAAACGUUGUUCGGAUUUACUGGGCGUAAAGCGCGUGUAGGCGGCUUGGCAAGUUGAAUGUGAAAGCCCACGGCUCAACCGUGGAAGCGCAUCCAAAACUGCUUCGCUGGAGUCUCGGAGAGGAAGGUGGAAUGCUUGGUGUAGAGGUGAAAUUCGUAGAUAUCAAGCAGAACACCGGUGGCGAAGGCGGCCUUCUGGACAGUGACUGACGCUGAGACGCGAAAGCGUGGGGAGCAAACAGG
rnacentral:rRNA from 1 species